AGCCAGACUCCUACGGGAGGCAGCAGUGGGGAAUAUUGCACAAUGGGGGAAACCCUGAUGCAGCGACGCCGCGUGAGUGAAGAAGUAUUUCGGUAUGUAAAGCUCUAUCAGCAGGGAAGAAAAUGACGGUACCUGACUAAGAAGCCCCGGCUAACUACGUGCCAGCAGCCGCGGUAAUACGUAGGGGGCAAGCGUUAUCCGGAUUUACUGGGUGUAAAGGGAGCGUAGACGGCAUGGCAAGUCAGAUGUGAAAGCCCGGGGCUCAACCCCGGGACUGCAUUUGAAACUGUCAGGCUGGAGUGCAGGAGAGGUAAGUGGAAUUCCUAGUGUAGCGGUGAAAUGCGUAGAUAUUAGGAGGAACACCAGUGGCGAAGGCGGCUUACUGGACUGUAACUGACGUUGAGGCUCGAAAGCGUGGGGAGCAAACAGGAUUAGAUACCCCCGUAGC
rnacentral:rRNA from 1 species